rnacentral:rRNA from 1 species
UUAGUGGCGGACGGGUGAGUAACGCGUGAGAAUCUGCCCUCAGGAGGGGGAUAACAGAAGGAAGGAAUGACUAAUGCCCCAUAUGCCGAGAGGUGAAACGAAUUUUGCCUGGGGAUGAGCUCGCGUCUGAUUAGCUUGUUGGUGGGGUAAAAGCCUACCAAGGCUUCGAUCAGUAGCUGGUCUGAGAGGACGAUCAGCCACACUGGGACUGAGAUACGGCCCAGACUCCUACGGGAGGCAGCAGUGGGGAAUUUUUCCGCAAUGGGCGCAAGCCUGACGGAGCAACGCCGCGUGAGGGAUGAACGCCUUUGGGCUAUAAACCUGCAUUUUCCACACCGAAAAAAGGUCUGACGGUACUUGAGGAAUAAGCCACGG